ACCAAAUCUUGACAUCCUUUGACAACUCUAGAGAUAGAGCCUUCCCCUUCGGGGGACAAAGUGACAGGUGGUGCAUGGUUGUCGUCAGCUCGUGUCGUGAGAUGUUGGGUUAAGUCCCGCAACGAGCGCAACCCUUAAGCUUAGUUGCCAUCAUUAAGUUGGGCACUCUAAGUUGACUGCCGGUGACAAACCGGAGGAAGGUGGGGAUGACGUCAAAUCAUCAUGCCCCUUAUGAUUUGGGCUACACACGUGCUACAAUGGACAAUACAAAGGGCAGCGAAACCGCGAGGUCAAGCAAAUCCCAUAAAGUUGUUCUCAGUUCGGAUUGUAGUCUGCAACUCGACUACAUGAAGCUGGAAUCGCUAGUAAUCGUAGAUCAGCAUGCUACGGUGAAUACGUUCCCGGGUCUUGUACACACCGCCCGUCACACCACGAGAGUUUGUAACACCCGAAGCCGGUGGAGUAACCUUUUAGGAGCUAGCCGUCGAAGGUGGGACAAAUGAUUGGGGUGAAGUCGUAACAAGGUAGCCGUAUCGGAAGGUGCGGCUGGAUCACCUCCUUU
rnacentral:rRNA from 1 species